GAGGGCUGGGGUCCCCGCCACCCCCCAAGGAUGGGGGAGGGGCAGCAGGAUUGACAGUCCGUAAUUGGGUAACUGGAGGCGGCUUCUCCGGCCCGGCGGCCCCGCCACCGCGACGCCGGGCCCCUGACGUCACCCGAUUCGCCAGGAAAUGAACUUUUUAAUAAUCCAAGGAGGGAGGAAAGCCCUCGGUCCCCUCGGCUCGGGGGGCGCCCAGCCCGGCUCAGCUCUGCGGGCGCGCCCCCAUCACCCCCUCCCAGGUCCUCUGCGGACAGCUCUGAGGGGGCGCGCGCACGGCAGGGCCUCCUCCGGCCUCUGCGGCUGGCGUCGAUCUGACUGUCCGAGGCUUUGGAACAGACCACGAUUCUUCAUUCAAGUGCAAAGCGAGAUCGCCGCGGAGUUUCCAGAGUGUUCGAUGUCCCUGGAACCUAGCAGGAGCGUCUAAAGGCCUCGCAGCCCUGGCGAUAACCCUACUCUCGGCAACGGUGCCCCGUGUGGCCGCAUCCCAGGCCUCUGCUCUGCAGACUUCCCGGAGGAGAGCGCGGAGCGCAGAGGAAGCUGCCCUUGGCCGUGUAGGCGCCUCGGCUGGCAGGGCGGCAGGGCGGGGGGGCCUCCCAGCACCAUCCCCGAAAGCAGGAGCAGACGCCAUACAGGAGGCCCUUCUGAAUACAAGACCUUUCCCCUCACUGCUGGGGUAAGCUGGAGUUCAGGCCCAGCCGCUACCGAACGGUUCAAUGCCCGGUGUCCAGACAGGCCCAGAGCUCUGUCUACGCCUCUCCACAGCGGAUCCCCGAGCCUGCGUCCGCCUCGUUCUUAUUGAAAUCCCACUGAAAGGAUUCUGGCUCCGACUUGGGCAGGGGAAGACUUACAUACCCUGCGCUCUCCCCCACCUGCACCCUCGCCACACAGGAUAAAGGGCCGCGGGGCGCUUCGAACGGGGGGCACAAGCAGGAGCGAGCCGGGUUAAGCCGCGCAAAGCCGGUGCACGGGACCAGCCGGCAGGUGCAGCCAGCGCCCGGCGGCCCGGCUUGGGCGCAUCGGCCGGCGCGACCCGGGGGUGGGGAACCGCCAAGACAAAGGCUCCAGCUCUGGGGUGGGAGGGGGGCGCGUCGCAAAGCUCUGGAAAGCCGGGUCUCCAGGUCCAAGGCUCCGGAAAAAAAACGGAAGGCAGGAGCCCCCAGGGAGGUCUCUGGGUUUCCGGAUGACCUGGGUUUAAGCCACUAGUCGGACCGUGCGAUCCGGGUGUUGGGAAGGCCGAGCCUGGGAUCCGGAGGCUCGGGACAGCGCGGGCGGCGGAGUGCAGGAACUUACCGACAG